rnacentral:rRNA from 1 species
GACGAACGCUGGCGGCGUGCUUAACACAUGCAAGUCGAACGGAAAGGCCCUGCUUUUGUGGGGUGCUCGAGUGGCGAACGGGUGAGUAACACGUGAGUAACCUGCCCUUGACUUUGGGAUAACUUCAGGAAACUGGGGCUAAUACCGGAUAGGAGCUCCUGCUGCAUGGUGGGGGUUGGAAAGUUUCGGCGGUUGGGGAUGGACUCGCGGCUUAUCAGCUUGUUGGUGGGGUAGUGGCUUACCAAGGCUUUGACGGGUAGCCGGCCUGAGAGGGUGACCGGGCACAUUGGGACUGAGAUACGGAGCAGAGUGGUACGGGAGGCAGCAGUGGGGAAUAUUGUACAAUGGGCGGACGCCUGAUGCAGCGGCGCCGCGUGCGGGAUGACGGUCUUCGGGUAGUAAACAGCUUUAGCCUGUGACGACGCGGGAGUGACGGUAAUGGGAAAAGAAGCACCGGCUAACUACGUG